GCCCAGCGCAGCCCCGGCCGCUGGGCGCACCCGUCCCGUUCGUCCCCGGACGUUGCUCUCUACCCCGGGAACGUCGAGACUGGAGCGCCCGAACUGAGCCACCUUCGCGGACCCCGAGAGCGGCGGCGCGACUCACCGCGGAGGCGCCCGGACGCGUCAAUGUCCCCCAGGGCAAGGCCUGAACCAGGUCGCGAGGGUCUGUCUCCCGUCUGGGGAGCUGAACUGCCCGAGACACUGUCGCAGUCGCGGGGACUUGUCUGGAGCGGCGGGGUCUGAGCCCAAGUCGGAAGCCGCCGCCGCCGCCAGCGUCCCGUGCGCCUGCCGCCCCGGGACCAGCCGCGAAACUUCUUCUCGGGACGGAGACAGCGCUCGCCGCCCGGGCCGAGGCCCAGCCCAAUAGGAAGCACCUGAUCCACACUCUUUCUAGCCCCAGGGAUGCUCAGGAAAGCAGCCUUUCUUUAGGGCUGUCAUCUGUUCUGGGGAUCUGUUGCUGUUUCUUGGGCCCACAGAAUACACUCCACACCUCGGGACUCCAUAAUAUUGGACAAGGCUGGAAGGCCCAUUUGGCUCCUGCAGCCUCUUAUGCAGGAGGACCUCCUGAGGCUUCGGGCAGGAGCUGGUGCACACCUGGAGGAGAGUGCUGGUGAAUGGCAGUCAUCCUCUUCAGCGGUCCUCCCAGAGCUGUCCUCAGCAUGGCAGCCUCCACAGCCCCUGGGUGUCACCCCCGGUUUCGUGUCUGCCUCGGACUCCAGACCUGCCCCUCCCAGGCUGGCCCAGAUGGAUCCUCUACAGUGACUAACCCAAACCAGCACCAGGCAGGGACCCAAUAAACCUUUGUGAAUGGA
ensembl:lncRNA DIO3OS DIO3 opposite strand upstream RNA